UAAUACGAAGGUGGCGAAUGUUGCUCGGAUUCACUGGGCGUAAAGCGUCGGUAGGAGGCUUGUUAAGUCAGGUGUGAAAGCCCCGCGCUCAACGUGGGAAUUGCACUUGAAACUAACUGGCUUGAAGGUAUGAGAGGAUAGCGGAAUAACUGGUGUAGAGGUAAAAUUCAUAGAUAUCAGUUGGAACACCCAUGGCGAAGGCAGCUAUCUGGCAUAUUCUUGACUCUGAGCGACGACAGCGUGGGGAGCAAACAGGAUUAGAUACCCUGGUAGUCCACGCCGUAAACGAUGCAUGCUCGCUGUCGGGUUCGCUACAGAACUCGGUGGCUUAGCUAACGCGGUAAGCAUGCCGCCUGGGGAUUACGGCCGCAAGGUUA
rnacentral:rRNA from 1 species